rnacentral:rRNA from 1 species
UAGCGGAGGGAGCUAGCGUUGUUCGGAAUUACUGGGCGUAAAGCGCACGUUAGGCGGCUUUGUAAGUUAGAGGUGAAAGCCUGGAGCUCAACUCCAGAACUGCCUUUAAGACUGCAUCGCUUGAAUCCAGGAGAGGUGAGUGGAAUUCCGAGUGUAGAGGUGAAAUUCGUAGAUAUUCGGAAGAACACCAGUGGCGAAGGCGGCUCACUGGACUGGUAUUGACGCGUGA